rnacentral:misc_RNA from 1 species
GAUGAAGAACGUAGCGAAAUGCGAUAAGUAAUGUGAAUUGCAGAUUUCAGUGAAUCAUCAAAUCUUUGAACGCACCUUGCGCUCCUUGGUAUUCCGAGGAGCAUGCCUGUUUGAGUGUCAUUAAAUUCUCAACUCUCCAACUGUUGUCAUGACUGGUGGUAGAGCUUGGACGUGAGGGUUCUGCCGGCUCCUUGUUGAGUCUGGCUCCCUUGAAAAUGAUUAGCGCAGCUUUGCACUGUCCGCUUCAGGUGUGAUAAUUUAUCUACGCCCGACUAGCGACGCGCAUGAAUGGCUUUGUGCUUCUAACCGUCUCGAAAGAGACAAUACCUUUUGAACUUGACCUCAAAUCAGGUAGGACUACCCGCUGAACUUAAGCAUAUCAAUAAGCGGAGGA